rnacentral:RNase_P_RNA from 1 species
AACGGUGAUUGUCCUGUCGCUGCCUCGUCACGAGGGAGAGGAAAGUCCGGGCAACACAGGGUGCCAUGCUUCCUAACAGGAAGGGAUUUGCUUGCAAAUCACAGAAAGUGCCACAGAAAAGAUACCGCUCCGCAAGGAGUAAGGGUGAAAACGUGAGGUAAGAGCUCACGGCGUAGCGUAGCGAUGCGUGCGCAGGUAAACCUCAUGGGUUGAAAGGUCAAAUAAACCGGGGCUUGAGGGCGACCCGCCCGACCCGGAGGGUAGACCGAUUGAACUUUGCGGCAACGUAAAGCCUAGAUAAAUGACAGGAGUUCACAGAACCCGGCUUACAGAUCACCGUUUUUU